GCCUUAGCUCAGUUGGUGGAGCACUCGGCUGUUAACCGAGCGGUCGCCGGUUCGAAUCCGGCAGGC
rnacentral:tRNA from 1 species